CAUGGUUUGCUUACUCUAGUUCUCAUGCGUAUUUUUUAUAAGGCACUAACCGUUUCGAGUAAGGCUGCAGUGAAUAACUAUGCAGGUGGAUCUAUUAAGAACAAGACGCCAACUAAAUGUCAAACUUUGUUUGAUACACUAGCAAUUGAAACACAGCAUUCUGAUACAAGAGGUAAACAUGCUGGAAUUUAUGAAAUUGGUAGUUCUAAUGCUUUUGCUUCUAAGGAGCAGGUUGAUGCUAUAACUAGUAAAUUGGACGCCUUGCUUGCUAUGAAUGGGAGAGCACCAACACAAGAGAUUUGCUCCAUUUGUGCUGUUCUCGGUCAUGCCACCAUAUCUUGUCCUCAUGGGGUUGAUUUUCCAGAAUUUCUGCAAGAACAAGCCAACAUGGUGAAUACCUAUAGACGUCCCGGCAAUGAUCCAUUCUCCAACACAUAUACUCCGGGAUGGCAGAGGCACCCCAAUUUUUCAUGGAGCAAUACUCAGAACAUACAAAAACCACCACUUGAUUUUCUACCUCAAGAGAAGAAAAUAAAUUUGGAAGAUGCUCUUACUCAGUUAACUAUGUCUACUACCCAAUUUAUGACUGAAACCAAAACCCAACUUCAGAAUCAGAGCGCUUCUAUUCGGAACUUGGAGGUGCAAGUAGGCCAACUAGCUACUAUAUUGAGUGAAAGAAGCCAAAGAGUAUUGCCAAGCCAACCUGAGCUUAAUCCGAAGAUUCAAGAACAUGUGAAGGCAAUUACACUUCGAAAUGGGAGACCCAUCAAAACCGCUAUAGAUUUGGACAUAGAAAAGCACCACCAGCAGUUGAGAGAUACGGAAAAAGCUGAAGAAAAUAGCCUACUCGCCGCUGUGAGCUCCACCGGAAAUUCAGCAAAAACUGAGCAACCACCAUCCAAAAAUCUCACUCCAAAAUCCUAUGUUCCUCUAAUUCCUUUUCCGUAACGCUUGAAGAAAAAUAAGAAGGAUGCACAGUUCUCCAAAUUUCUUGAAAUUUUUAGGAAAUUGCAAAUUGCCAUUCCAUUUGGUGAAGCACUAGACCGAAUGCUGAACUAUGGAAAGUUCAUCAAGGACAUCUUAAGCAAAAAGAGACGUUUGGAAGAUACAUAGAUGGUGGAAUUGACGGAGGAGUGUAGCGCAGUAAUACAAAGUCAUCUACCACCUAAGCGAAAGGAUCCAGGAAGGUUUUGCUAUCUCAAGGAACAAAACCCUGGAUCUUAUUGUGCCUGGGAUCCUAAUUACCAGUCUACUGCUGGUAAGCAGUAUUAUGGCCCUGGUCGAAUUUCAACUUUCUUGUGUGGAAAAGCAAUAGGGGCGGACAUGUUGACCAACCCAGACCUAGUUGCUACAGACCCUGUUAUUUCAUUCAAGACAGCACUCUGGUUCUGGAUGACCCCUCAGUCACCUGAGCCCUCAUGCCAUGAUGUGAUCACCAGGAGAUGGAACCCGUCUGGAGCCGACAAGUCAGCGGGUCUCGGUUACGGGGUCACUACAAACAUCAUUAACGGUGGACUUGAAUGUGGUAAGGGCUGGAACGCUAAGGUGGAAGAUCGCAUUGGGUUUUAUAAGAGGUACUGUGACUUGCUUGGAGUUGGCUAUGGCAACAACCAGAAGCCUUUCGGGUCCGAUCUCAAUGUUAUUCAAUUGCCUGAAAUUUUUUGUACCCAAUAGUGUGUGUGUGUGGUUUUUAGUUUUUUUUUGGGUGGUUGGUGUCACUACUAUUGUGACACUAAAUCAUGUGAUGGCUAGUUAUGAGAAUAAUUGUAACUAUGAGAAAUGAAAUAAUAAU